rnacentral:rRNA from 1 species
UACGUAGGUGGCACGCGUUGUCCGGAUUUAUUGGGUUUAAAGGGUGCGUAGGCGGUUCCACAAGUCAGUGGUGAAAUACGGCAGCUUAACUGUCGAGGAGCCAUUGAUACUGCGGGACUUGAGUACAGACGAGGUAGGCGGAAUUGACGGUGUAGCGGUGAAAUGCUUAGAUAUCGGCAAGAACACCGAGAGCGAAGGCAGCUUACUAGACUGAAACUGACGCUGAGGCACGAAAGUGUGGGGAUCAAACAGG